GAUGAACGCUAGCGAUAGGCUUAACACAUGCAAGUCGAGGGGCAGCAUGGUGAGUAGCAAUACCCACCGAUGGCGACCGGCGCACGGGUGAGUAACGCGUAUGCAACUUACCUAUCAGUGAGGGAUAGCUCGGCGAAAGUCGGAUUAAUACCUCAUAACACAUGUUAACUUCAUGGUUUUCAUGUUAAAGAUUUAUUGCUGAUAGAUAGGCAUGCGUUCCAUUAGGCAGUUGGCGGGGUAACGGCCCACCAAACCAACGAUGGAUAGGGGUUCUGAGAGGGAGGUCCCCCACACUGGAAAUGAGACACGGUCCAGACUCCUACGGGAGGCAGCAGUGAGGAAUAUUGGUCAAUGGGCGCGAGCCUGAACCAGCCAAGUCGCGUGAAGGAUGACAGAUCUAUGGUUUGUAAACUUCUUUUAUACGGGAAUAAAGUGCAGGA
rnacentral:rRNA from 1 species